CGUUCAGGGGUAAACCUAAGAAACCCAAAAGAUCGAACGGGGAGAUUCAUCGUCAGCGGCGUUGGCUUCGCGUCGGUGGGCGAUGUCCCGCGGUUUCUCGCGCGGGCACGCUACCGUGCGCGCAUGACCGGCGUCGUCGUCGUGCACUUCUCCCCUAGUAGAACGUCGCGACCCGCUGGGUGUCGGUCUACGGCCCGGGUGAGGUGACUGUCGCGUCGCCGGUAAAACGGCACGCGGCAAACCCUCGGACGCCCGGCCGGCUGCCCGGCGGUACUCGCACGGUAUCAGGCCGCAGUUUAUAUCUGCGUCAAGCCCGUCGCAAGCGCGCGCCACGGUUACUCGGAGGUACGGACCUAGCGCCGUCCCCGGUCCUGGUCCGCUGUUGGCCGACGGUGACCCUUUGACAGGCCUUACGGGGCGCGACGUGGGGGGUGUUAGCCAUUCCACGUCCGCCCCAAUACCGGUCGGCGACGCUACUGCUUUGGGUACUCUUAGGACCCGUCUUGAAACACGGACCAAGGAGUCUAACAUGUGCGCGAGUCAUUGGGACUAGCAAAACCCAAAGGCGCAAUGAAAGUGAAGGUCGGCCUUGGCGCCGACCGAGGGAGGAUGGGCCGCGUCGCGAUGCGGCCUCGCACUCCCGGGGCGUCUCGUUCUCAUCGCGAGAAGAGGCGCACCAAGAGCGUACACGUUGGGACCCGAAAGAUGGUGAACUAUGCCUGGUCAGGACGAAGUCAGGGGAAACCCUGAUGGAGGUCCGUAGCGAUUCUGACGUGCAAAUCGAUCGUCGGAACUGGGUAUAGGGGCGAAAGACUAAUCGAACCAUC
rnacentral:rRNA from 1 species